rnacentral:rRNA from 1 species
AUUGAACGGAGAGUUUGAUCCUGGCUCAGGACGAACGCUGGCGGCGCGCUUAACACAUGCAAGUCGUGCGAUACCUCGAGCGAGUCUUACGACAAGCUCAAGGUAGAGCGGCGGACGGGUGAGUAACACGUGAGUAGCUGUCCUAAGGAGGGGGAUAACGCCUGGAAACGGGUGCUAAAACCCCAUAUGCCUCGCAAGAGGUGAAAAUGUAGCUUGCUACAGC